CACGUAGGGGACGAGCGUUGUCCGGAUUCAUUGGGCGUAAAGCGCACGUAGGCGGAUGUGUCAGUCAGGGGUGAAAUCCCGGAGCUCAACUUCGGAACUGCCUUUGAUACAGCACGUCUUGAGUCCGAUAGAGGUGGGUGGAAUUCCUAGUGUAGAGGUGAAAUUCGUAGAUAUUAGGAAGAACACCGGUGGCGAAGGCGG
rnacentral:rRNA from 1 species